rnacentral:lncRNA from 7 species
ACCGGCGGGCUCCGGGCUGUGUGGGGCUGCGACCGUGCCUUGAGGCCUUGGUGAGGACUCCUUCCAUUGCACUUCGCUCCUAAGAAGAAUUCUGAAGAAGCAUUCCUGCUGCCUCAGGUGCUGCAUUCUCGGCAAUGACACCACUCAGCUUGCUGACCUCCUUGUCAUGCGAUCAGCUGCAUCUGCAAGCUCCACAGAGCAACACUGCUAAGUAAACAGAGCUCACUCUGCCUGCUUAAUGCUCCUCUUCACUUUGAAUGAGAACCCCCAGGGAUGCUGGAGAAGGCACUACAGGUCCUGAGCUGGGCAAUGCCGGGUCCCCAGGCGACAGGAGCUUCACAAGGGGCUGCCGGCUGUCCCAUACUCAUCAAGGCGCAGAGCCUCCCUCUGCACCAGCUCCCGAUAUCUUAAAAGAAAUACAGACAAAUAACAAAGUAAUAGCCCUACGGCAAACAGAAGAUGCUACAAGGAGUGUGCCUGGCCUCCUGCCUGUGCUGCGUUUUCAGACAUGACACGUCAAAGGCUGAUUCAGUUUCUAGGUGCUUUUACAGUUUUGCCUUUGGUCAAGGAGCAGAAUGAACUGAGCACUGGCUCCUUUUCCCUCCAGCAUCUCCCCUCCUGCCAGCAGGUUGCAGGGAUGCUGCCAGGAGCCACCAGGUCCAUCACCAAUGGACCACAGCAGGGCUGCUGCUCCAUUUCGGACUGUCCCCAGUGAUGGGGGUGACUGCAGCAGAGUUGGCUUUUGCCAUCCUCGUGCCAUCCUUCUUUUCUUUAACCUCUUUGGGUAUUACAGAAUUUGACUACAUGGGAGGAAAAAAAAAAAAAGCCUUUGGGGAGGACUGUUCUGUUUUUAAACUUCUUUUGUAAUUGUUUUUUAAAAUUGCUCCUGUUUUGUAUAUUGUACUUACACAAGAAUGCAUCUCAUGGACUCUGGAGCAGUUGGACCUUGAAUGAGAAGCCUGAACAUAACCCCAAACUUAACUUCUAGUUUAAAAGUGAGAGUUACAAACCAGUAAGCUGUGUCUGAUGGAGAUAAGACAGCUCCAGGGGCAGGAAGGAGACACAUAGAAGUUUAAGGGGGGACUGACCGAAGGACAGCCACAUCCAAGCUGAACUUUUAUGUCUUUUUAAGAAAACAAUACCAGAGGAGCUUGCUCUUUUGUAAACUUCUGAUUGACCCAGUAGCCAAGUUUUGUCCAAGUUUAAACAGUUCUACAACAAACCACAAUAACAAACGUGUCAGUUGUCCUCAAUAGCUUGGUAUUUUUCCACUUCAGAAGAUUUUCUGACAGCGUGAAAAGAAAUGCUCCAGUAGAACAUGAGCUGAUUUGCACGCUACCACAGUCUGAAUCAGAGGCUAGCAUGCCAUCGCUUUGCAAUUUGGGCUCUGCAGAAGCUUAGCAUAAUUGAUCCUGCCCUUUACAGAUGCUUUCUGUACUUCACAAGGCUCCUCAGUGUGAUGGUCCCCUACCACAAUACACACCUCAUCUGAGUGUUAACUCCGUACUGCAGCAUACCUUGCAAGCUCUCAGUGACAUUUUAUUAUUUGUACACUUUAUGACAGUAAUCUGUUUGAGCAGAAAGGCCAAAGUCCUUGUGAGCACGGCCCUGUGAGCUGUGCUUUUUUGCAUCCCCCAAGGUGCGGAUCCCUACAGUUCAGUUCCCCUCUCCAACAGCUCCACUUGGGGCAUGGCUGUGCAGCACUUGCCUGCACUGGGUUUAGUUUAGGACCAAAAAAAGAGAGGGUUCAGAAACUAAAUUUCACACCCGAUCUUAUGC